rnacentral:tRNA from 1 species
GGGCGAUUAGCUCAGAUGGUUAGAGCGCUACACUGAUAAUGUAGAGGUCCGAGGUUCAAUUCCUCGAUCGCCCA